rnacentral:tRNA from 1 species
UUCCCUGUAUCUCAGUUGGUAGAGCAUGGUGUUUGCAACGCCAGGGUUGUGGGUUCAAUUCCCACAGGGGGGC